UACGGAGGGGGCUAGCGUUGUUCGGAAUUACUGGGCGUAAAGCGCACGUAGGCGGCUUUGUAAGUCAGGGGUGAAAUCCCGGGGCUCAACCUCGGAACUGCCUUUGAUACUGCAAAUCUCGAGUCCGGAAGAGGUGAGUGGAAUUCCUAGUGUAGAGGUGAAAUUCGUAGAUAUUAGGAAGAACACCAGUGGCGAAGGCGGCUCACUGGGCCGGUACUGACGCUGAGGCGCGAAAGCGUGGGGAGCAAACAGG
rnacentral:rRNA from 1 species